rnacentral:snRNA from 1 species
GUGCUUGUUUCAGCAGCACAUAUACUAAAAUUGAAACGAUACAGAGAAGAUUAGCAUGGCCCCUGUGCAAGGAUGACACUCAAAUUCGUGAAGUGUUCCAUAUUUUU